rnacentral:tRNA from 1 species
GACUGGGUGGCUUAGCUGGUUAGGUAAGGUCGCAAAGUCUGAUAUCACGGUAAGGAAUAUCUAACAUUGAUCUAAAUUAGAGCGAUAGUCUCAUAUGCCACGAUAUGUGAUCUAUAGAUCGCGAGUUCGAACCUCGCCCCGGUCA